rnacentral:rRNA from 1 species
UACGUAGGGUGCAAGCGUUGUCCGGAAUUAUUGGGCGUAAAGAGCUCGUAGGCGGUUUGUCGCGUCUGCUGUGAAAACUCGGGGCUUAACCCUGGGCCUGCAGUGGAUACGGGCAGACUAGAGGUAGGUAGGGGAGAAUGGAAUUCCCGGUGUAGCGGUGAAAUGCGCAGAUAUCGGGAGGAACACCGGUGGCGAAGGCGGUUCUCUGGGCCUUACCUGACACUGAGGAGCGAAAGCGUGGGGAGCAACAGG